GGCCUGAUAGUUCAGUGGUAGAAUUCUUGCUUUGGGCAACAAUGUAAGAGGUCUCCGGUUCAAUCCCGGAUUAGGCCC
rnacentral:tRNA from 2 species